UACGUAGGGUGCAAGCGUUGUCCGGAAUUAUUGGGCGUAAGGAGCUCGUAGGCGGUUUGUUGCGUCGGCUGUGAAAUCCCGAGGCUCAACCUCGGGUCUGCAGUCGAUACGAGCAAACUAGAGUGUUGCAGGGGAGACUGGAAUUCCUGGUGUAGCGGUGAAAUGCGCAGAUAUCAGGAGGAACACCGGUGGCGAAGGCGGGUCUCUGGGCAACAACUGACGCUGAGGAGCGAAAGCGUGGGGAGCGAACAGG
rnacentral:rRNA from 1 species